rnacentral:sRNA from 1 species
UGCUGACAACACAUUGACGCUACAUGUCUCCCAUCGUUCAUGAACCACUAGUACAUCUAGUCAUGACGCCAACCGUCCACCUCUGAGAGAUCUUUGGGUAAAGGACCAGGUCUUCCAGUACCGUUAGGAUCGCCUACUCCAGGUCUCCACCUCCAGGCAUACUUUCUCUGCUCGGACAUCUGUGAUUUAUCACAUUAGUCUGAGGGCUACGCUUGAAGCAACUAUGACUCACUUUGCCUUCGAUGAGGUCGGCAACUUGGCUGCCAACCACAGGCAGCAUUUUAAAGGUGUGCCCACUAUCUCCCGUAGCCAACACCAAACCUCUCCACUUGGGAUGCUCGCAUAGCAGCCAAUUCGCAUCGUCUGUAUCGGUACACCAGCACAUGGAUUGAUUGAUCAGAGGCUUAUUGGCAAACUGCGGUAGGCACAUUUUGACAAGGCGCUGGAUCUCAUCGAGCGCUUCUGUAGGGAUGGUGUCGGUUGGGUUAUCAGCGUGUGAACGAGGGACAGAUAUUCGUUGUGGCGUAGUAGCUCCAAAAGGGGUCCAUUCUUGAUAAUUGGUGUAGCCUGGAAAUUCAUUGCAGAGUUUAAUGAGAUGAUUGUCGGGUCGAGGCUCAAAGAAAAACCCAUAUUUGCUGUUGUAAACGCCUCUGGUUCAAAUUGAUGAUAAGACACGCACCUUGGAAAUGCACUGCCCUUCAAGGUCUAUCAAAGCAGGUGACCAAGCUCCAGCAGCAAGAACGACGAGAUCCGCUUCAUAUUCGGACCCAUCCUUGGCCUUGACACCCUUUACUGUCUUGCCAUCUUCCAUGAGAAUCAAUGAAUCAAAAGUUCCAGAUGCACCAAAUGAAGUCUUGACACCAAAUUGCUCCAGCUCACGGCCCACAGAAUCGAGGGCAUCACGAGCAGCAACCCACCCUCCCCUACCGCACCAGAGCCCUCGCCAGCCCUAUCUUGACUGUCAGCUAAUACUUAAAUUUAUGGCGCAAUGAAAGGGGCUGACUUUGAUGUCGGCGUUCUUCAAAUGGGGAGCCCGUCUGCGAACAUCCUCUUCGUUGUCCAGCCACUCUACAUCGGUGCGUCCCCGAGCGCGCAUCCUGUCCACUUUAGCCUUCAAGAACUUUGUUUCAGCCUCAUCGACUAUGGACAAAGGGCUUAAAGACAGGAUCGGUAUUCCAAGCAUCCCACAGGGUAUCGGCGACACCCUCGUAGGUCCCAACCUGAUCAUCGCCAGCAAUCUUCGCGAGCGAUUUCUUUUAGACAAGUUCCAUGUAUUGCAGAGUAACUUUGGUGCUUACCUUAUUCAAAUCAUUUCCUGCAGAAUUAUUGGAAGGUAUAGGAUAAACAUCCAUGAUCCUGAUAUCCGUAAACCCUCUCCGAGAGAGAUGGAGAGCCGUCGAGGAACCCAUCGUCCCGCCUCCACCAAUGAUGACAAUUUUAGAGUCUGUAGACGCGAGGGCUCC